GGAUCAUUACCGAGGUCGUCCCCUGUGGACGGUACUCUCACACCCUGUUGUUAUACCUGUUGCUUCGGCGGGACGUUGGUUUCAGCCACCGUCGGCGUUAGCGGGCGAGUGCCCGCCGAAGAUUUUACACUCUUGAUUUAUGAAGUCUGAGAAAAAUACAAAUGAAUAAAACUUUCAACAACGGAUCUCUUGGUUCUGGCAUCGAUGAAGAACGCAGCGAAAUGCGAUAAGUAAUGUGAAUUGCAGAAUUUAGUGAAUCAUCGAAUCUUUGAACGCACAUUGCGCCCCUUGGUAUUCCUCGGGGCACGCCUGUUCGAGCGCCGUUUCAAAUCUAAGGCUCAGCCUUGUGUUGGAGCAAUCCGCUCGCGGAUGCGCCGAAACUCAUCGGGCGCCUUCCUGUCCCUGGCAGCGUAGCAAGUCUUUUCGCUGUCUGGUUCUUGGAGGGUUGCCAGUCUACACGAGUUUGGCCUC
rnacentral:rRNA from 1 species